rnacentral:rRNA from 1 species
CAGUCGCCACGGUAAUACAGAGGGUGCGAGCGUUAAUCGGAUUUACUGGGCGUAAAGCGUGCGUAGGCGGCUUUUUAAGUCGGAUGUGAAAUCCCUGAGCUUAACUUAGGAAUUGCAUUCGAUACUGGGAAGCUAGAGUAUGGAGAGGAUGGUAGAAUUCCAGGUGUAGCGGUGAAAUGCGUAGAGAUCUGGAGGAAUACCGAUGGCGAAGGCAGCCAUCUGGCCUAAUACUGACGCUGAGGUACGAAAGCAUGGGGAGCAAACAGGAUUAGAUACCCGCGUAGUCCCUGUCUCUUAUACA